rnacentral:rRNA from 1 species
GAUGAACGCUGGCGGCGUGCCUAAUACAUGCAAGUCGAGCGAACGGACGAGAAGCUUGCUUUUCUGAUGUUAGCGGCGGACGGGUGAGUAACACGUGGAUAACCUACCUAUAAGACUGGGAUAACUUCGGGAAACCGGAGCUAAUACCGGAUAAUAUUUUGAACCGCAUGGUUCAAAAGUGAAAGACGGUCUUGCUGUCACUUAUAGAUGGAUCCGCGCUGCAUUAGCUAGUUGGUAAGGUAACGGCUUACCAAGGCAACGAUGCAUAGCCGACCUGAGAGGGGGAUCGGCCACACUGGAACUGAGACGCGGUCCAGACUCCUACGGGAGGCAGCAGUAGGGAAUCUUCCGCAAUGGGCGAAAGCCUGACGGAGCAACGCCGCGUGAGUGAUGAAGGUCUUCGGAUCGUAAAACUCUGUUAUUAGGGAAGAACAUAUGUGUAAGUAACUGUGCACAUCUUGACGGUACCUAAUCAGAAAGCCACGGCUAACUACGU